rnacentral:lncRNA from 1 species
UGCACAACGGUUGCGCCAAAAACGGUCCAAAAAUGGCCAAGGCUUUACCAUACGAAAAAUCGGCCGAUUUUUAACCAUGUGAGAAACGUCCCGAAAAUUCACAGAUAACUACUAGGAGGCCUCACUCUGAGUAAUAUCAAAGUUUUUUCCCACAAGAACCGCUCGGAGAUGCCCGGACUCAGUUUUUAUUUUCGUCCCAAUACUUUUCUUCCAAUGGACUAGUUGUGUUUCUUUGAUCUUGUGCAACCUCUUUAGGCCGAUGAUAGCCCGCGGAUAGGUGUGGAAACCCAUCUAUAUUGCACCCAGUAUGACACAGAAAAAAGCCCAGGGCCUAGGGGUCGGGUGGGGCUCGUUCGGGGUGCACAACGGUUGCGCCAAAAACGGUCCAAAAAUGGCCAAGGCUUUACCAUACCGAAAAUCGGCCGAUUUUUAACCAUGUGAGAAACGUCCCGAAAAUUCACAGAUAACUACUAGGAGGCCUCACUCUGAGUAAUAUUAAAGUUUUUUCCCACAAGAACCGCUCGGAGAUGCCCAGACUCAGUUUUUAUUUUCGUCCCAAUGCUUUUCUUCCCAUGGACUAGUUUUGUUUCUUUGAUCUUGUGCAACCUAUUUAGGCCGAUGAUAGCCCGCGGAUAGGUGUGGAAACCCAUCUAUAUUGCACCCAGUAUGACACAGAAAAAAAGCCCAGGGCCUAGGGGUCGGGUGGGGCUCGUUCGGGGUGCACAACGGUUGCGCCAAAAACGGUCCAAAAAUGGCCAAGGCUUUACCAUACCGAAAAUCGGCCGAUUUUUAACCAUGUGAGAAACGUCCCGAAAAUUCACAGAUAACUACUAGGAGGCCUCACUCUGAGUAAUAUUAAAGUUUUCUCCCACAAGAACCGCUCGGAGAUGCCCAGACUCAGUUUUUAUUUUCGUCCCAAUACUUUUCUUCCCAUGGACUAGUUGUGUUUCUUUGAUCUUGUGCAACCUAUUUAGGCCGAUGAUAGCCCGCGGAUAGGUGUGGAAACCCAUCUAUAUUGCACCCAGUAUGACACAGAAAAAAAGCCCAGGGCCUAGGGGUCGGGUGGGGCUCGUUCGGGGUGCACAACGGUUGCGCCAAAAACGGUCCAAAAAUGGCCAAGGCUUUACCAUACGAAAAAUCGGCCGAUUUUUAACCAUGUGAGAAACGUCCCGAAAAUUCACAGAUAACUACUAGGAGGCCUCACUCUGAGUAAUAUCAAAGUUUUUCCCACAAGAACCGCUCGGAGAUGCCCGGACUCAGUUUUUAUUUUCGUCCCAAUACUUUUCUUCCAAUGGACUAGUUGUGUUUCUUUGAUCUUGUGCAACCUAUUUAGGCCGAUGAUAGCCCGCGGAUAGGUGUGGAAACCCAUCUAUAUUGCACCCAGUAUGACACAGAAAAAAAGCCCAGGGCCUAGGGGUCGGGUGGGGCUCGUUCGGGGUGCACAACGGUUGCGCCAAAAACGGUCCAAAAAUGGCCAAGGCUUUACCAUACCGAAAAUCGGCCGAUUUUUAACCAUGUGAGAAACGUCCCGAAAAUUCACAGAUAACUACUAGGAGGCCUCACUCUGAGUAAUAUUAAAGUUUUCUCCCACAAGAACCGCUCGGAGAUGCCCAGACUCAGUUUUUAUUUUCGUCCCAAUGCUUUUCUUCCCAUGGACUAGUUUUGUUUCUUUGAUCUUGUGCAACCUAUUUAGGCCGAUGAUAGCCCGCGGAUAGGUGUGGAAACCCAUCUAUAUUGCACCCAGUAUGACACAGAAAAAAGCCCAGGGCCUAGGGGUCGGGUGGGGCUCGUUCGGGGUGCACAACGGUUGCGCCAAAAACGGUCCAAAAAUGGCCAAGGCUUUACCAUACCGAAAAUCGGCCGAUUUUUAACCAUGUGAGAAACGUCCCGAAAAUUCACAGAUAACUACUAGGAGGCCUCACUCUGAGUAAUAUCAAAGUUUUUCCCACAAGAA